CUAUUUUUCACAUUUAAUCAGUAUUUAUUGAGCAAAUACACCAUGUGAAACAAUUGUGCUAUAUGUGGGGAUACUGAAAUAAAUCAGGCCCAAUAUAAAAAGUAAUAAUAACAUGCAAUAUAUAUUAUACAUUUUAUCAUGUUUUAUAACAAAAUGAUACCUCAUAUUCUAGCUAUUUGUGCAUGUCUUUCUACUGCUGUUCCUUGACAAUAACUGUUUCUCAUUUAUCUUUGCAUCUUUUAGCACGUAACACAAUGACUCAUAUUCAAUAAACAGAUGGUGAUUUCAUUAAUUAAUGUAAAAAAAAAUGAGUGUAUUGGAUCCAAAAAUUGACAAGACCCUUUGUAACUCUGAAAAUCCCGUGGCUGCAUUGUUGUCUGGUUUGAUAACCAAUGUGUAGAACCAAGAUAUCAUAUUAAUAGCCCAUGCUGUAGAUGGGUUCAAUAUUUGAAUAUGCGUCCUACUUAAAGAACAGCUGGCCAAAGCUGACUCUUUAUCAGCCAAUCAAAUUUGACCUUUAAACUGACAGUUUUGCCUUCCCCCAGCUCCAGAAAAGACUGAGCCACCCGCCCAUAGAGCCAUAGCCUCAUACCUUUCAGUUCUAUGAAAGAAGCUGAGGCUCAGCUUGCUAUUUUCAGGAAGCUUCUUCCUAAUUAACCUAAUCCAACUGAUUCUACUCAACAUGCUCUGCUGUGUGCUCUAUUCCAACCAUGGGCUGGAUGUGACUUUCAUAACUGAAGGUCAAAGGCCCCUCUUUCCAGUAUAGGAGAGAAUACCCCAUGAAUGAGAAAGACUGAAAAAUAUGAAAGAGAAAGAAUAGUAACACAACUGGAAAGAAUUAAGCUGUGUCUUACAAUGUUGGAAUGUAGAUUAUGUUGGGAAAAAAUGGAAAAUUUCCAGCCUUCUACACUGGAACCCAACCCCCCCUACAGUGUCAGGAAAUUAGAAACUUAAACUGUCACAAGAAAUACAAUGGGCUGUAAAGAACGUCUACACCACUUAUCAGGGAGAAAGCCCUGCUGACUGCCAAUUCUUUACAAGGGCUGUGGCUUUAGUCUCAAAAUUAAGAUGCCCAGAACUUUGGCAUGAGACUUUGGAAUGGAACACUCCCAGUGGGUCAAAAAUGCCAUUCUCUCAUGAAUUAAAACCAAAAUGUGCCCACUGUGCCUAGGGGAACAGCCUUACGACCCAGAGUGGAUUAGCUGGAACACUGGAUAGACAGGAAGAUCAUAAAGUCAUUAGCAAAGAAACAGACUUACUGGAGUGGAUAAAUUCGAUGUCUUUACCAUUAGGGUUGGGUGCUAGAACACAAAAUCGGAGCUGAGGUGAGAGACUACGCAGGGAAAGCCAAGAAAAGAAACCAAAACCAAUGUUUGGGAAACCCAUGACUCUACAAUCUCACAAUUCUUCCAGAACUUUCCAGGAAAUAUUACCAUGAUGAGUCAGUUCUAACCAGGCACCACGUGCCAGGCUGGGAACACUAGUCCAGGAACUCACUAUCAGUUUCAGGCCAGUUCCGCCCCAGAGCUGGAGCAUCUGAGGAGAGUUUUGGGGCCAGCGUGCAACCCUGCUCUAUACACCAGCCAAUCCUCCCCUCGGAACGGGUCUGCUGGCCCGAUCUCUCCCCACAGUUGCAAGAAGCAUUUUCAAAGAAUAGUUUGUGGGCCAGGUGCGGUGGCUCACGCCUGUAAUAACAGCACUUUAGGAGGCCGAGGCGGGUGAAUCACCUAAGGUCAGGAGUUCGAGAGCAGCUUGGCUAACAUGGUGAAACCCCGUUUCUACUUAAAAAAAAAAAAAAACAAAAAACAAAAAAUUAGCUGGGCGUGGUGGCAUGUGUCUGUAAUCCCAGCUACUCGGGAGGCUGAGGCAGGAGAAUCGCUUGAACCUGGGAGGAGGAGGUUGCAGUGAGCCAAGAUUGAGCCACUGCACUCCAGAUUGGGCAACAAGAGUGAAACUCUGUCUCAACAAAAAAAAAAAAAAAAGAAAAAAAGAAUAGUUUGUGAUGACUCAGAUAUAAGUCUGAAGAUCAUGCAGAAGUGGUAGCUGCCCCAACACUCUUUUUUAAGCAUACAAUUCAAUGCUUUUUACUAAAUUUACUGAGCUGUGCUGCUAUCAUCACUAUCCAAUUUCAGAACAUUGUCAUCUCCCCAGUAACAUUCUUCCUGUCCAUUUACAGUUAAUUCCCAUUCCCACCUGCAGCUGAGGUUAAGUCCAGGUUAUGUGAGGGCCCUCUGUUUUCUCUAUCCCCAUGUCCUCACUUUAUUUACCAGCACAAUUGCAUGAGUUUUCUACGAAGUGACAACACCUGUGUGGUUAGCUACCAUGUAGAUGUCAGACACAAAUGCACACAUACAUACACCUCCAACCAGGGAAGCAAUGUGAACCCUCCCUAUCCAUCCCAUCAGGGAAAAGGCCAACACUUCUGCAAAAUGCUUCCAACCUGGCUAUUAAAGGUAUAGCCAUGGUUUUCAAAGACUGCCGGAAAACUGAAUAUUAUCCUUUACAAUAUAUGUCAUUUUAAAAAAUCAAUACCAUUCAGACCUUUAAACUAAGAAUCUUGCCUGUGCUCCCUGAAGGUGAUAUUGGCGAAUUCAGAGGUGAAAAAAUCAUGAGAAGCUCAAGGAAUUGAAGAAAAUAACCAUAAUCAACUGGCUACUGGAAAGCCAAUUACAUCCAAUAUUUUCUUAACAUCAAAGGUUAAACAUAGUUCUAGAAAACAGUGGGAAGAGAAUCCGAGAAGCAGUUUUAGCUUGGCUCCUCUGCAGUCUUGUUACAGGUAGUUAGGUAGGCGUGAGCAGGGCAGGAGACGGCUUCCCAUCCCACCCCAACUAGAAAUGUCGGUGACGGUUUGGCAUUGUCUCUCUAAAAAGUGUAAUUCCGCAACCAGGGAGAGACAAUCUCCUGAUGGUCCACACCUGUUAACAUUAAAAGUUGUUAACUGAAUACAGACUCCAGGGAGAAACAGCUUCCCGGGAAUGCACAUUAAAACACAAAAAAUGGCUAAGUAUGAUCUUCCGGUUCCAUGCCACCGGGGAAAAAGGAAGAAAUCCUCAGAUGGGCAUGCGUACAACUCCCUAAACACACUGCGCAUGCUCAGUUCCUAAGGGUAAAGAGGGCUCCGCGCAUGCAGGAAGACCACCCUAAGGGAAGAAUCAUGGGAAAGAGGCAGAAAAUUAAAACUGGAUUGCUACCUGGUGCUUCCAUACACUGAAAAGAAAGAACACUCCAAUCUGCCAGCCUUACGAUGUUGGGAAAACGCAUCAAACAGUGCUAAGGUUUUAAGCAUGGAGAAUAUAAUCCAGUUGUAAAGCUAUUAACCCAGAAAAGAUGUCACAUGAAAGUCUGUAAAUAUGAACCACACUCUACUGCCCAGUGAUGGAGAAACCUACUGACUGUGGUGCGCAGAUUCCUAAGACGCCCUCAUGGUAUCCAUGUCCGCAUCAUCUCCUCCCCCUUGAGAGUGGGCUGAACCUGUGACUGGCCUCUAACCAACAGGCUAUCGUGAAGCAAGCCUCCAUCAGUUCUGCAGCUACAAGAAAAUGAGUUCUGCCAACAACCAAGUGAGCACUGAAGAGGACCCUGAGCAUCAGAGGACAGCCUAGCCCUGGCCAAUGCCUUCAUUGCAGCACUGUGAGACCCGAACAAAAGAUCCAGCUAAUGCAUGUUCAGAAUUCUGAUUCCAGGAAACUGUGGAAUAAUAAAUGCUCCUAUGUUAAGCUGCUAAGUGUGUGGUAAUGUUUUUACUCAGCAAUAGAAAACUACUGCUGGAUGGGCGCGGUGGCUUGUGCCUGUAAUCCCAGCACUUUGGGAGACCGAGGCACAUGGAUCACUUGAG
rnacentral:lncRNA from 1 species